GUGCCAGCAGCCGCGGUAAUACGUAGGGUCCAAGCGUUAUCCGGAAUCACUGGGCGUAAAGCGUGCGUAGGUGGCUUGUUAAGUGAGAUGUUAAACCGUGUGGCUCAACCAUAUCGUUGUGUCUCAUACUGGCAGGCUAGAGGACGGCAGAGGCAAGUGGAACUCGUAGUGUAGCAGUGAAAUGCGUAGAUAUUACGAAGAACACCAAUGGCGAAGGCAGCUUGCUGGGCCGCCCCUGACACUGAGGUACGAAAGCGUGGGGAGCGAACAGGAUUAGAUACCCUGGUAGUCC
rnacentral:rRNA from 1 species